AACGAACGCUGGCGGCAGGCUUAACACAUGCAAGUCGAACGGGCGUAGCAAUACGUCAGUGGCAGACGGGUGAGUAACACGUGGGAAUAUCCCUCUCAGUUCGGAAUAACUCAGGGAAACUUGAGCUAAUACCGGAUACGUCCUUCGGGAGAAAGAUUUAUCGCUGAGAGAUUAGCCCGCGUCUGAUUAGCUAGUUGGUGAGGUAAUGGCUCACCAAGGCGACGAUCAGUAGCUGGUCUGAGAGGAUGAUCAGCCACACUGGGACUGAGACACGGCCCAGACUCCUACGGGAGGCAGCAGUGGGGAAUAUUGGACAAUGGGGGCAACCCUGAUCCAGCCAUGCCGCGUGAGUGAUGAAGGCCUUAGGGUUGUAAAGCUCUUUUGCCAGGGAAGAUAAUGACUGUACCUGGAGAAUAAGCCCCGGCUAACUUCGUGCCAGCAGCCGCCGUAA
rnacentral:rRNA from 1 species